rnacentral:tRNA from 1 species
AGCGGCAUGGCUUAGUGGAAAAAGCACUGGUUUGGGAGUCAGAGGACAUGGAUUCUAAUCCUAUCUCUGCCA